AUCUGUUUGCCAGUCUGCUUCAUGUGGUUAAUUAUUAAUGGAAUUACCUCCUCCUUACUACUUCCCUCCUCUCUUCUCUUCCAUACGUGUUGCAUGUCACAAAUUUAUCUUCUCUUUUCCAUUUCCGUUUCAACUGGCCAUCUCUCCUUCUUCCCUUGCCCAGCUCCUCCUCGAAACCCUCGGCCACACGCAGAGGCCGCCUCAGCCGACGCUCCGCCGCGGGUCGCCUCGGCAGUAGUGCGUGGCCAUAAACGUUUACAAGGAACAAUAAAACGGCCGAACGCGCUAAGAAGGAAGCGGAACAGGCCUUCGAGGAGUGCAGCGACGCCGCCAGGCAGGAGAUUAAGGAAUUUCAGCGAAAGAGAGUGGAGGAGCUACAAAGAAGUAUUGACCAGUAUGCAGCCUACCAGCUGACCUGUUCCCGGGCCACCCUUAACACACUCACACAGGCACUUAGCCAAAUCAAAGCUAUCAAUUUAUAGACUCAUCCCUCAAAUCCUAUGGGGCUCACCCACAUCAUAGAUAAGCUCACACCAUGGUACACCAUUAUCACACUGCAACUGUGCUUACUAUGCAGUGUAAAAUGCCCUCCAGCCUUCCCCACUUGCCUAUCCCAAAUGAAAUAUAAUUAUUUUUUAAAUAUAAAUUAGGCGGUUUCUUUGAAAUAAGCUUCCACUCUGAUUCAUCUUCGAGAGCCAAAAUUAUCUUGAGUGUUAACCAGAAUGUCUAAAUGUGAACUAAAAGGCUGCCAGUAAUUGCAUCGGGUUGUAGCUGUACGUAGGAUACCUUGGAGGAAUAAGAACCGUCCAGCAAGUGGUGUGAGCAAAAAACACAUAGUCAUAAUGAUCUCAGACAACAUAUCCUGAUAACAUGAGUGUGUUUGAGCAUAAUAAUCCAUCACAAAAAGGCUGUUCAUGAAUCACAUAAUUCAUUAAGUAGGUGACUGGUUCUUCCAAAGCUACAAAAGACCUGUCAUGUAUCACAAACCAAUAUGAGUAUGAUUUUAUUGAAUUUUAUGCCUUUUAUUAAGGGGAUAGUGUUAAGUGAGCUGGCUUGAUGAAGGCGUUCAUUGCACGUCUCUUUAUAGACCACUUUUUGAAAGAUCACUGCAGAGUGUUGUGGGGAGUACGUAUGGGUGUGAGAUUAUUAAAUUCUGUACUUCAGUUUCUUUGUGAUUGAUAUAUUAGUUUGAUAUAAAUCAUCAUUAUAGUGAUGUAUGCACUAUGGUUUCCAUUUACAGAAUUGUUAUAAGGAUAAAUAAGACUUUUCUGUCUUCUCUGUUUAGAUUAUAUUUUCAGGGUUACAAGAAGUCAAGAAAUCCUAUAAAUGUUAGUUUUUGGACAUUAAUGCUACUUGUUUAUAAAAAAUGGAGAGAGCCAGUAUAAAACAGAGAGAAAAGAAGAGUGUCCUGGGUUUUCAGCUGUUAAAAAGAAUAGGUGUUAUUUCAUGAGCUGUAAAAAUUAGACUAUAUUUCAAGUCAGUCAUUCUUUUUCUUUGAAUACCAUGCAACCACUCGAUUUAAAGUUCAAAUAACAUUGAUACUCCUAUGAUAAUGAUGAUAAAAAUAACAAUAAUGAUGAUGUUAAUUAUGAUAAUGAUAAUGAUUAUGAUAAUAAUGCUAAUGCUAAUGAUGAUAAUGAUAAUGAUUGUAAUAAUAAUGAU